UCUGUGGGAUCAGUGGCGAACGGGUGAGUAACACGUGAGCAACCUGCCCCUGACUCUGGGAUAAGCGCUGGAAACGGCGUCUAAUACUGGAUAUGUGACGUGACCGCAUGGUCUGCGUCUGGAAAGAAUUUCGGUUGGGGAUGGGCUCGCGGCCUAUCAGCUUGUUGGUGAGGUAAUGGCUCACCAAGKCGUMRCMRGGUAGCCGGCCUGAGAGGGUGACCGGCCACACUGGGACUGAGACACGGCCCAGACUCCUACGGGAGGCAGCAGUGGSGAAUAUUGCACAAUGGGCGCAAGCCUGAUGCAGCAACGCCGCGUGAGGGAUGACGGCCUUCGGGUUGUAAACCUCUUUUAGCRGGGAAGAAGCGAAAGUGACGGUACCUGCAGAAAAAGCGCCGGCUAACUACGUGCCAGCAGCCGCGGUAAUACGUAGGGCGCAAGCGUUAUCCGGAAUUAUUGGGCGUAAAGAGCUCGUAGGCGGUUUGUCGCGUCUGCUGUGAAAUCCGGAGGCUCAACCUCCGGCCUGCAGUGGGUACGGGCAGACUAGAGUGCGGUAGGGGAGAUUGGAAUUCCUGGUGUAGCGGUGGAAUGCGCAGAUAUCAGGAGGAACACCGAUGG
rnacentral:rRNA from 1 species